UACGAAGGGAGCUAGCGUUGUUCGGAAUCACUGGGCGUAAAGCGCACGUAGGCGGAUGUGUCAGUCAGGGGUGAAAUCCCGGAGCUCAACUUCGGAACUGCCUUUGAUACAGCACGUCUUGAGUCCGAUAGAGGUGGGUGGAAUUCCUAGUGUAGAGGUGAAAUUCGUAGAUAUUAGGAAGAACACCGGUGGCGAGGGCGGCCCACUGGAUCGGUACUGACGCUGAGGUGCGAAAGCGUGGGGAGCAAACAGG
rnacentral:rRNA from 1 species